rnacentral:rRNA from 1 species
GACGAACCGUGCAAACGUUAUUCGGAAUCACUGGGCUUAAAGCGUGCGUAGGCGGCUGAGAAAGUUGGGUGUGAAAUCCCUCGGCUCAACCGAGGAAUUGCGCUCAAAACUACUUGGCUUGAGGGAGUUAGAGGUGAGCGGAACUAAUGGUGGAGCGGUGAAAUGCGUUGAUAUCAUUAGGAACACCGGUGGCGAAAGCGGCUCACUGGGACUCUUCUGACGUUGAGGCACGAAAGCUAGGGGAGCGAACGGG